rnacentral:pre_miRNA from 1 species
UUUAUACUCUCUCCGUUUAAAAAUACUUGUCCUAAAAAUUGAUGUAUCUCAACUUAUUUUAGUUAUAAAUACAUCCAUUUUACUCAUUUUUAGGACAAGUAUUUUCGGACGGAGGGAGUACCAU